CACGUAGUUAGCCGGUGCUUAUUCUGCGGGUACCGUCAUCGAACCAUGGUAUCAGCACGGCCCUUUUCGUUCCCGCCAAAAGUGCUUUACAACCCGAAGGCCUUCAUCACACACGCGGCAUUGCUGGAUCAGGCUUUCGCCCAUUGUCCAAAAUUCCCCACUGCUGCCUCCCGUAGGAGUCUGGGCCGUGUCUCAGUCCCAGUGUGGCUGGUCGUCCUCUCAGACCAGCUACAGAUCGUCGCCUUGGUAGGCCUUUACCCCACCAACUAGCUAAUCUGCCAUCGGCCGCUCCAAUAGCGCGAGGUCCGAAGAUCCCCCGCUUUCACCCUCAGGUCGUAUGCGGUAUUAAUCCGGCUUUCGCCGAGCUAUCCCCCACUACUGGGCACGUUCCGAUGUAUUACUCACCCGUUCGCCACUCGCCGCCAGGCCGAAGCCCGCGCUGCCGUUCGACUUGCAUGUGUAAAGCAUGCCGCCAGCGUUCAAUCUGAGCCAGAUCAA
rnacentral:rRNA from 1 species